GAGGAAAGCUGGCGGCGGGCUUAACACAUGCAAGUCGAACGGAAAGGCCCUGCUUUUGUGGGGUGCUCGAGUGGCGAACGGGUGAGUAACACGUGAGUAACCUGCCCUUGACUUUGGGAUAACUUCAGGAAACUGGGGCUAAUACCGGAUAGGAGCUCCUGCUGCAUGGUGGGGGUUGGAAAGUUUCGGCGGUUGGGGAUGGACUCGCGGCUUAUCAGCUUGUUGGUGGGGUAGUGGCUUACCAAGGCUUUGACGGGUAGCCGGCCUGAGAGGGUGACCGGCCACACUGGGACUGAGAUACGGCCCAGACUCCUACGGGAGGCAGCAGUGGGGAAUAUUGCACAAUGGGCGGAAGCCGGAUGCAGCAACGCCGCGUGCGGGAUGACGGCCUUCGGGUUGUAAACCGCUUUCGCCGGGGACGAAGCGUGAGUGACGGGAAUGGGUAAAGAAGCACCGGCUAACUACGUG
rnacentral:rRNA from 1 species